GGUUCCAUAGAUCAAUGGUAGAGCAUUUGAUUGCAGAUCAAGAAGUCACUAGUUCAAACCUAAUUGGGUUCU